CCAAUAGCGUAUAUUAAAGUUGUUGCAGUUAAAAAGCUCGUAGUUGAAUUUCGGGAUCAGUAGGUCGGUCGUGCCACUGGUAUGAACUGGUCUCACUGGUUCCUCCCUCUUGACGAACUGCAAUGCUAUUAAUUUAGUGUUGUAGGAAAUCAGGACUGUUACUUUGAAAAAAUUAGAGUGUUUAAAGCAGGCUUUGGCUUGAAUACAUUAGCAUGGAAUAAUGAAAUAGGACGUUCGAACCUAUUUUGUUGGCUUCUAGGAUUGACGUAAUGAUUAAUAGGGACAGUUGGGGGCAUUAGUAUUCAAUUGUCAGAGGUGAAAUUCUUGGAUUUAUUGAAGACUAACUACUGCGAAAGCAUUUGCCAAGGAUGUUUUCAUUAAUCAAGAACGAAAGUUAGGGGAUCGAAGACGAUCAGAUACCGUCGUAGUCUUAACCAUAAACUAUGCCGACUAGGGAUCGGAUGAUGUUAAUUUUUUAAUGACUCAUUCGGCGCCUUACG
rnacentral:misc_RNA from 1 species